rnacentral:lncRNA from 1 species
CUGGGGACAAGGUGAGCAGGAGUCUGAGAAGGCUGUGCAGUGCAGAGGUAGCCUGCUGGAGAGGAUUUGCAAAGCAGAAUAGCACAAGUGACAGAACAGCCAGCUCCAUGGCUGCAGGAGCUCCUGACUUCCAUUCAAGCCUUGGGCUGGCACAGAUAAGAAACAUGCAAUUCCAAAGGCCUGCCAGCCACACCAAAGAGCUUCUCCCAAGGCAUGAACCAGGAGAGGAAGCUGCAGAGUGGGAGGAGAGUGAUGUUUUGAACCAGAAAACAAGAGUCAAAUGAGGCUAACAAUGCAUAAAGCUUGGGUACAGCAUAAAGUGUAUUUCCCCUUUGGUAAGCAUUUUGUUUCACAAUAUUAAGUGUCCUAACUGGGCAAACAGAUUCUUGGAGUGAACCAGCUGGAUUUCAGCCCUGGCUCUAUUUCAGCCAAAGUAGGAUCUUGGACUACUUGCUGCAGAUAU